rnacentral:rRNA from 1 species
GGAUUAGAUACCCUGGUAGUCCAUGCCGUAAACGAUGAGUGCUAAGUGUUGGAGGGUUUCCGCCCUUCAGUGCUGCAGCUAACGCAUUAAGCACUCCGCCUGGGGAGUACGACCGCAAGGUUGAAACUCAAAGGAAUUGACGGGGGCCCGCACAAGCGGUGGAGCAUGUGGUUUAAUUCGAAGCAACGCGAAGAACCUUACCAGGUCUUGACAUCUUCUGACAAACCUAGAGAUAGGCCGUUCCCUUCGGGGACAGAAUGACAGGUGGUGCAUGGUUGUCGUCAGCUCGUGCCG